GACGGAGGGUGCGAGCGUUGUUCGGAUUGACUGGGCGUAAAGGGCGUGUAGGCGGUUGGUCAAGUCUGAUGUGAAAGCCCGGGGCUCAGCUCCGGAAGUGCAUCGGAAACUAGCUGGCUGGAGCGCGAUAGAGGAGGGUGGAAUUCCUGGUGUAGCGGUGAAAUGCGUAGAUAUCUGGAGGAAUACCGGUGGCGAAGGCGGCAUCCUGGACCAUUUCUGACGCUGAGGCGCGAAAGCUAGGGGAGCAAACGGG
rnacentral:rRNA from 1 species